rnacentral:rRNA from 1 species
UACGUAGGGUGCGAGCGUUAAUCGGAAUUACUGGGCGUAAAGCGUGCGCAGGCGGUUCGCCAAGUCAGGUGUGAAAUCCCCGGGCUUAACCUGGGAAUUGCGCUUGAAACUAGCGGGCUUGAGUGUGGCAGAGGGGGGGUGGAAUUCCACGGUGUAGCAGUGAAAUGCGUAGAGAUGUGGAGGAACACCGAUGGCGAAGGCAGCCCCCUGGGCUAACACUGACGCCUCAUGCACGAAAGCGUGGGGAGCAAACAGG